rnacentral:rRNA from 1 species
AGAGUUUGAUCAUGGCUCAGAACGAACGCUGGCGGCGUGCCUAACACAUGCAAGUCGAGCGCGAAUGGAGCAAUCCUAGUAGAGCGGCGCACGGGUGCGUAACACGUGGGUAAUCUGCCUGGGAGAUUGGGAUAACCAUCCGAAAGGAUGGCUAAUACCAGAUAAGCCCACGGGGACUUCGGUCCUUGAGGGAAAAGGUGGCCUCUGUAUACAAGCUAUCACUUCCAGAUGAGCCCGCGGCCCAUCAGCUAGUUGGCGAGGUAAUGGCUCACCAAGGCAACGACGGGUAGCUGGUCUGAGAGGACGAUCAGCCACACUGGAACUGAGACACGGUCCAGACUCCUACGGGAGGCAGCAGUGGGGAAUUUUGCGCAAUGGGCGAAAGCCUGACGCAGCAACGCCGCGUGUGUGAUGAAGGUCUUCGGAUUGUAAAGCACUUUCGACCGGGACGAACACCCGGAGCCUAACAUGCUCCGGCCUGACGGUACCGGGAGAAGAAGCACCGGCUAACUCUGUGCCAGCAGCCGCGGUAAUACAGAGGGUGCAAGCGUUGUUCGGAAUUAUUGGGCGUAAAGCGCGUGUAGGCGGCAUUGCAAGUCGGGUGUGAAAGCCCUCGGCUCAACCGAGGAAGUGCGCCCGAAACUGCAGUGCUUGAGUACCGGAGAGGGUGACGGAAUUCCCCUGGUAGAGGUGAAAUUCGUAGAUAUGGGGAGGAACACCGGUGGCGAAGGCUGUCACCUGCACGGAUACUGACGCUGAGACGCGAAAGCGUGGGGAGCAAACAGGAUUAGAUACCCUGAUAGUCCACGCCGUAAACGAUGAGAACUAGUGUCGCGGGAGUUGACCCCUGCGGUGCCGUAGCUAACGCAUUAAGUUCUCCGCCUGGAAGUACGGCCGCAAGGCUAAAACUCAAAUGAAUUGACGG